rfam:Chaetura pelagica isolate M959 contig18270, whole genome shotgun sequence.
GUAAAAGUUUCUUUUGACGUGGACAACAUUCAGAUCAAAUAUGUUGACGAGGAUAAUGAUGAG